UAAAACAAAUAUAAAAUUGAUUUCGGCUAUGAUCGGAUUUCGGCACAUAAAUGUUUUGACUAUUUUCAGCGUCAAUUUAAGUUGUAUAUGGGCAUUACAUAACAGUUUCACAGAAAAUGAACCUACUCUCGAUGGCCAAGAAUAUAUCAAGAAAAUUGUUAAGGGGGAAAUUGUUGAUACUCUUAGUUAUAACACUACACAUCAACUCCAUCUUAUGUAUGUCUAUAUGGAGACGUUGGUGGACCCCGUCGACGAAAACAGACUUUAACUUUUUUCGAAGACAUGGCUCUAAUGAUGUAAAUAAUCAAGAACCUAUCGUGGAAUGUAAAUGUCCUCCUAAUAAAGAAUGCGCCCUUGAUUUUAAGAUCGAUGAAAAAAUGCUCCAUUUUCAACACCUACAAGGCAUCCUACGCGACAAUGACCUAAGGAGGUUCUAUGAAGAAAAUGUGAAUGAAGAAACUAAUAUCGUAAAAAAUACCCAAAGAAUAAGACGAAGCAACGAGGGUCCAGAGAAAUGUUGCUGUCCACCAACGAUUGUCAAAGUGCCCGCAUUUAUAACUGAAAAGCGAUUCAAAGACGUAAUCGAACGCUUCAAUAAAAUGUAACGUGUAAGGUUAUUAUGUAAUGAAGUAAAGAAUGGCGAUUGUUCGUACAUGAACUGAAUUUAACGCAUAGCAAUGGACUGAAAGUUUCGCAAUGCAUCAAAAGGAAUGCUCUGUGAAAUUCAUUUUUAUAUACAAGCAAUGUACCUAGUCGUAUUUCCAUACAUUCAUGUGCGACGCAAAGACCAGAGGUAUGAAUGAAACAUUCCGGUCUGACGUAAAAGUUUAUUGUAAUGGACAUAGUUCGCCGAACAAUUUUAAUUACGCCCUUACGUCAAACGAUAUUUUGUCCUGUUGGAAGCUGUUUAUGAUAUAUUUCAAUGACUAUUCUAUACGUGCAUGAAGCAUUUGGAAUGUAACGUUCUGGAACCUAUUAUCACGACCGGAGUCCGUAUUUUAACUAAACGCGUUUAUUGCAUUGCAAUCUCUUUCAUGGGAAUAAUAUGAAUGCAAAAUUUCAUAUUUUCCAUAAACUCAGCUCUAACCAUAUAAUGGUUUUACUAGAAUGUAAUAACAGAAACUGUUGCUUGUUUUGCAAUAUCUUUUCAAUUUCCAUUCUCUUACAAUGUACUCGGUAGUAAUAUGGAUUUUCAUAGUGAACUUUUUUUGCGCUGCAACUGAAAAUGAUACCGAUACAACAGGUGAUUGCACAAAAAAGCCACCAAUUGUUCUUGUGCCAGUGUUUAUUAAAUUGUAUCGAUAUCCACAAUUAAUUAAUCGUAAAACACGGAGAACAUCCAACAAAUUUGUAGAAUAAGUAAA